UACGGGGGGGGGCAAGCGUUGUUCGGAAUUACUGGGCGUAAAGGGUUUGUAGGUGGCCCGCUAAGUCACACGUGAAAUCCCUCAGCUUAACUGGGGGAACUGCGUGUGAGACUGGCAGGCUCGAGGGCAGGAGAGGAACGCGGAAUUCCAGGUGUAGCGGUGAAAUGCGUAGAUAUCUGGAGGAACACCGGUGGCGAAGGCGGCGUUCUGGACUGUCUCUGACACUGAAGAACGAAAGCCAGGGGAGCAAACGGGG
rnacentral:rRNA from 1 species